rnacentral:sRNA from 1 species
GAGCGUUUUAAUGCGAUGGUGUCCCCGCGGGAUCAAACUUCAGCGUCACAGCUGAAGACUGGCUUCGUGGUCCCUGAUGGGAGAGCAUGAACAGGUGGUAUGUGAAGCCCUUGGAGACCAGCUCUUCCAAAGUCAAAGCCAAGACCAUUGUGAUGAUUCCCGACUCCCAGAAGCUCCUGCGAUGUGAACUUGAGUCGCUCAAGAGCCAGUUACAGGCCCAGACCAAGGCUUUCGAGUUCCUGAACCACUCAGUGACCAUGUUGGAGAAGGAGAGCUGCUUGCAGCAAAUCAAGAUUCAGCAGCUUGAAGAGGUGCUGAGCCCCACAGGCCGCCAGGGAGAGAAGGAGGAGCACAGGUGGGGCAUGGAGCAGGGUCGGCAGGAGCUGUAUGGGGCCCUGACCCAAGGCCUUCAGGGGCUGGAGAAGACCCUGCGUGACAGUGAGGAGAUGCAGCGGGCCCGCACCACUCGCUGCCUGCAGCUGCUGGCCCAGGAGAUCCGGGACAGCAAGAAGUUCCUGUGGGAGGAGCUGGAACUGGUGCGGGAGGAGGUGACCUUCAUCUAUCAGAAGCUCCAAGCGCAGGAGGAUGAGAUCUCAGAGAACCUGGUGAACAUUCAGAAAAUGCAGAAAACGCAGGUGAAAUGCCGCAAAGUGAGUGGAGGAGAUGGGGACCCUGGGGAGGAGUGGGAGAGGGAGGGAUGGGGAUUUUGGCCAGCCUCCACCAUGAGAUUGGAGCCUGGGUUCAAAUCUCAGCUCUGCCACUCACUGCUGUGUGACUGUGGGCAAGUCACUUGACCUCUCUGAGCCUCAGUUUCCUCAUCUGUAUAAUGGAUGUAAUAAUAACUCAUCUUGGCUGGGCGCGGUGGCUCACGCCUGUAAUCCCAGCACUUUGGGAGGCUGAGGUGGGUGGAUCAGAAGUUCGAGACCAGCCUGGCCAACAUGAUGAAACCCCGUCUGUACUAAAAAUACAAAAAUUAGCUGGGUGUGGUGGCAGGCACCUGUAAUCCCAGCUACUCA